CGGAUUGCAGGCUGCAACUCGCCUGCAUGAAGUUGGAGUUGCUAGUAAUCGCGGAUCAGAAUGCCGCGGUGAAUGCGUUCCCGGGUCUUGUACACACCGCCCGUCACACCAUGGAAGUUGGGGCGCCCGAAGUUGGUCAAGAAGAGAUUACCUAAGGCGAAACCAAUAACUGGGGUGAAGUCGUAACAAGGUACC
rnacentral:rRNA from 1 species